rnacentral:rRNA from 1 species
UAGGGAAUCUUCCACAAUGGACGCAAGUCUGAUGGAGCAACGCCGCGUGAGUGAAGAAGGUUUUCGGAUCGUAAAGCUCUGUUGUUGGUGAAGAAGGAUAGAGGCAGUAACUGGUCUUUAUUUGACGGUACUCAACCAGAAAGUCACGGCUAACUACGUGCCAGCAGCCGCGGUAAUACGUAGGUGGCAAGCGUUGUUCGGAAUUAUUGGGCGUAAAGCGAGCGCAGGCGGAAUGAUAAGUCUGAUGUGAAAGCCCACGGCUCAACCGUGGAACUGCAUCGGAAACUGUCAAUCUUGAGUGCAGAAGAGGAGAGUGGAAUUCCAUGUGUAGCGGUGGAAUGCGUAGAUAUAUGGAAGAACACCAGUGGCGAAGGCGGCUCUCUGGUCUGCAACUGACGCUGAGGCUCGAAAGCAUGGGUAGCGAACAGG